rnacentral:lncRNA from 1 species
GCCAUAGGUAUAGCAUAGUGUAGUCUUUUUUUUUCAUCUGAUUUCAAAUUUAUAGCUAAGUUGUUAUUAUCUUCUGCUUGUAGCUAUGUGACCUUCGACAGAUGAGAUUCGAUGGUUUGCUGCUACCAAGAAGAGGCCCACUGCUGGUGCAGGGCCAUCUCGAGCUCCGAAGAAGAGUUGGCCCACCACACCGUCGAUAGUAG